GACGAACGCUGGCGGCGUGCUUAACACAUGCAAGUCGAGCGAGGCCCCUCCUUCGGGAGGGUGUCCUAGCGGCGAACGGGUGAGUAACACGUGGGCAACCUGCCCUCAGCUCUGGGAUAACUCCGGGAAACCGGGGCUAAUACCGGAUACGACCUCCACGGGCCUCUGCGGAGGUGGAAAGUUUUUCGGCUGAGGAUGGGCCCGCGGCCUAUCAGCUAGUUGGUGGGGUAGUGGCCCACCAAGGCGACGACGGGUAGCCGGCCUGAGAGGGCGACCGGCCACACUGGGACUGAGACACGGCCCAGACUCCUACGGGAGGCAGCAGUGGGGAAUAUUGCGCAAUGGGCGAAAGCCUGACGCAGCGACGCCGCGUGAGGGACGAAGGCCUUCGGGUUGUAAACCUCUUUCAGCAGGGACGAAGCGAAAGUGACGGUACCUGCAGAAGAAGCACCGGCCAACUACGUG
rnacentral:rRNA from 1 species